rnacentral:rRNA from 1 species
GGACUACCGGGGUAUCUAAUCCCGUUCGCUCCCCUGGCUUUCGCGUCUCAGCGUCAGGUGGGGUCCAGGAGCGCGCUUUCGCCGCGGGCGUUCCUGCCGAUCUCAACGCAUUUCACCGCUCCACCGGCAGUUCCCGCUCCCCCUACCCCCCUCCAGGCCGGUCGUAUCCGCGCCCCUUCCCCGGUUGAGCCGGGGGAUUUCAGCGUCGGACGUGCCGGCCCGCCUACACGCGCUUUAGGCCCAGUGAUUCCGAAUAACGUUCGCACGGUUCGUCUUACCGCGGCUGCUGGCAC